AUUGAACGCUGGCGGCAGGCCUAACACAUGCAAGUCGAGCGGAUGAAGGGAGCUUGCUCCUGGAUUCAGCGGCGGAUGGGUGAGUAAUGCCUAGGAAUCUGCCUGGUAGUGGGGGGUAACGUCCGGAAACGGGCGCUAAUACCGCAUACGUCCUGAGGGAGAAAGUGGGGGAUCUUCGGACCUCACGCUAUCAGAUGAGCCUAGGUCGGAUUAGCUAGUUGGUGGGGUAAAGGCCUACCAAGGCGACGAUCCGUAACUGGUCUGAGAGGAUGAUCAGUCACACUGGAACUGAGACGCGGUCCAGACUCCUACGGGAGGCAGCAGUGGGGAAUAUUGGACAAUGGGCGAAAGCCUGAUCCAGCCAUGCCGCGUGUGUGAAGAAGGUCUUCGGAUUGUAAAGCACUUUAAGUUGGGAGGAAGGGCAGUAAGUUAAUACCUUGCUGUUUUGACGUUACCAACAGAAUAAGCACCGGCUAACUUCGUG
rnacentral:rRNA from 1 species